AAAGUCGUAACAAGGUUUCCGUAGGUGAACCUGCGGAAGGAUCAUUAGAAGUCGGUUGUUCCAACUGAAAACCCUCUUCGCCUCGCGGUUGGCCCUGGCCUCUUCGGACGCACAGUGCCGGCCGUUGUGUAGCGAUUUGGCGUGCUCUUCUUACCACCCCUUUUUAUACGUACCUCUCAUUCUUCCUCGGCAGGAUAACCUGCCGGUGGAACCUCAUCAUGAACCCUUUUUAUACAGUAUUACUUGUUCUGAUACCCUAAAUCGUUACAACUUUCAACAAUGGAUCUCUUGGCUCUG
rnacentral:misc_RNA from 1 species